AGUUCUUCGACCUGUUGCGCCCAAUGGAGCUGUUGUGAAUUUAUCUGCUGCUCAGAUCCGAAAUGAUAUAUUUGAGGAUACAGUAUGCCUGGCAAGCCACAUGGCAGCCUGUUCCUACAACCAAGUGGAAAUCC
rnacentral:ribozyme from 1 species